GUUUUUAGCUGUUCUCCAUGGCAGCUGCGGCAGCCGGGACCCUGGGAAGACUGACCGUACAGGGACAGGGAAAACCUCCCUACUUUGGCUGGAACAUUGGUGGACGUAGCCCAUCAAAGGCAAGUCCAUAACAAAGGAAAAGGCAAAGAAAAUAAAGCUGC